rnacentral:rRNA from 1 species
UAGAGUUUUGAUCAUGGCUCAGAUUGAAAGCUGGCGGCAGGCCUAACACAUGCAAGUCGAGGGCAGCACGGGUACUUGUACCUGGUGGCGAGCGGCGGACGGGUGAGUAAUACCUAGGAAUCUGCCUGGUAGUGGGGGAUAACGUUCGGAAACGGACGCUAAUACCGCAUACGUCUACGGGAGAAAGCAGGGGGACUUCGGCCUUGCGCUAUCAGAUGAGCCUAGGUCGGAUUAGCUAGUUGGUGAGGUAAUGGCUCACCAAGGCUACGAUCCGUAACUGGUCUGAGAGGAUGAUCAGUCACACUGGAACUGAGACACGGUCCAGCCCCUACGGGAGGCAGCAGUGGGGAAUAUUGGACAAUGGCGAAAGCCUGAUCCAGCAUGCCGCGUGUGUGAAGAAGGUCUUCGGAUUGUAAAGCACUUUAAGUUGGGAGGAAGGGCCGUUACCUAAUCGUGAUGGCUCUGCGUACGACAGAAUAACGC